rnacentral:rRNA from 1 species
AAACUUCAGCAAUGGAUGU